rnacentral:rRNA from 1 species
AAUAGAUACCCGGGUAGUCCACGCCGUAAACGAUGAGUGCUAAGUGUUAGAGGGUUUCCGCCCUUUAGUGCUGCAGCUAACGCAUUAAGCACUCCGCCUGGGGAGUACGGCCGCAAGGCUGAAACUCAAAGGAAUUGACGGGGGCCCGCACAAGCGGUGGAGCAUGUGGUUUAAUUCGAAGCAACGCGAAGAACCUUACCAGGUCUUGACAUCCUCUGCCAACCCUAGAGAUAGGGCGUUCCCCUUCGGGGGACAGAGUGACAGGUGGUGCAUGGUUGUCGUCAGCUCGUGUCGUGAGAUGUUGGGUUAAGUCCCGCAACGAGCGCAACCCUUGAUCUUAGUUGCCAGCAUUCAGUUGGGCACUCUAAGGUGACUGCCGGUGACAAACCGGAGGAAGGUGGGGAUGACGUCAAAUCAUCAUGCCCCUUAUGACCUGGGCUACACACGUGCUACAAUGGAUGGUACAAGAGCUGCGAACCCGCGAGGGUAANCGAAUCUCAUAAAGCCAUUCUCAGUUCGGAUUGU